CACCGCGGUUAUACGAGAGGUUCAAGUUGAUGAUUUACGGCGUAAAGUGUGGUUAAUAGCAAAAUAAAUUAAGGUCGAAUAUUUUCACGGCUGUUAUACGCAUCCGAAAAUAAGAAGCUCAACUACGAAAGUGGCCUUAUACAAUUGAAUCCACGAAAGCCAAGACA
rnacentral:rRNA from 1 species